CUAAUACCGCAUACGCCCUACGGGGUAAAGCAGGGGACCUUCGGGCCUUGCGCUGAUGGAUGAGCUCGCGUCGGAUUAGCUUGUUGGUGAGGUAAAGGCUCACCAAGGCGACGAUCCGUAGCUGGUCUGAGAGGAUGAUCAGCCACACCGGGACUGAGACACGGCCCGGACUCCUACGGGAGGCAGCAGUGGGGAAUCUUGGACAAUGGGGGCAACCCUGAUCCAGCCAUGCCGCGUGUGUGAAGAAGGCCUUCGGGUUGUAAAGCACUUUCAGCAGGGAGGAAGGCUUACCCCUAAUACGGGUGAGUACUUGACGUUACCUGCAGAAGAAGCACCGGCUAAUUUCGUG
rnacentral:rRNA from 1 species